rnacentral:misc_RNA from 1 species
UAUUGAAUCAGAUCCUGAUUUAUUAUUGAGUCAGAUCAAUUCGUGUAUCUGGAGUCUAAAGGAUUCGUCGAGCAUGGAUGUUAACAGAUUCCAUUGGAUGUAAAAGGCAAAAUGGUGGUGGAAGUACCAACUUUGUAUGAGCUUAUAAAAAGAACUUUCACCUUGAUAGUGAAGUCAUACAAAGGAGAUAGGCAACAUGCCAAGAAAACGAUCCGGUAAUACCGGUCACAGUCAAUGCAAAGAUGAAGCAACAGCUAUGAGCGAAACGAUUAGACCCGGUAAAAGUAAUCAUGGUCAAUCUUCCCCAUCAGAUGAAGCUAUAAAAAAAUGCUAAGGACUGUCACCUUGAUAGUGAAGUCAUAGAUCAAGGAGAAAAACCACAUGCCAAGAACACGAUCCGGUAAUACCGGUCACAGACAAUGCAAAGAUGAAGCAACAGGGAUGAGUGAAACCAUUAGACCCGGUAAAAGUAAUCAUGGUCAAUCUUCCACAACAGAUGAAGCUACAAGAAAAAUGUUGAGACCAAGUAAACCGUAUUUAGAUCAAUGUAAAGAUGAAGCAACAGCUAUCAGAGAAAGCAUUAGGCUUUUAAGAGAAAUUGAAGUCAGAAGCCGCAGAGCUGCCAUCCUGUGCUACAAAACUUCAAGUGCAAAUG